AUGAUCGUGUCCAGAUUGAACGCUGGCGGGAUGCUUUACACAUGCAGUCGAACGGCGGCACGGACUUCGGUCUGGUGGCGAGUGGCGAACGGGUGAGUAAUGUAUCCGGAACGUGCCUAGUAGCAGGAUAACUGCACUGAAAGCGUCAACUAUGCCACAUACACCCUUCGGGGAAAAGCGGGGGACCUUCAGUUUAGCACUGUGAAACCAGCCGAUAUCGGAUUAGCUAGUUGGUGGGGUAACGGCUCACCAAGGCGACGAUCGUAGCUGGUUUGAGAAGGACGACCAGCCACUGGGACUGAGACACGGCCCAGACUCCUACAGGAGAGCGACAGUGAGGUACCGGACAAUGGGGGGGAAACCCUGAUCCAAGCCAUCCGCGUGUGCGAUGAAGGCCUUCGGGUUGUAAAGCACUUUUUGGCGGAAAAGAAACAGCUACGGGAUAAUACCCGUGCAACUGACGGUACCUAAAAUAUAAGCACCGGCUAACUACAUUUUCAACCAGCCACUUUGCAGUAAUACGUAAGUGCAAGCGUUAAUCGGAAUUUUGGGCGUAAAGCGUGCGAGCGGUUCGGAAAGAAGAUGUGAAAUCCCAGAGCAACACGGAACUGUUUUGCUGUUGGCUAGAGUGUCAAGAGGUGGAAUUCCGCGUGUAGCAGUGAAAUGCGUAGAUAUGUACAUGGAGAGGAACCUGCGAUGGCGAAGGCGCAGCCUCUAUAUGGGAUAACACUGACGCUCAUGCACGAAAGCGUGGGAGCCGCAGCAGGAUUAGAUACCCUGGUAGUCCACGCCCUAAACAGUGUCAACUAGCUGUUGGGGCAUGCUUCGGGCCUUGGUAUCACGCAGCUAACUGCCGCCGUGAAGUUGAUACCUGGGAGAAUACGGUCACCAUAGAAAUUAAACUCGAAAGAUUGACGGGGACCCGCACAAGCGGUGGACAGUGUGGAUUAAUUCAGUACAGCAGCGAAAACCUUACCUACCCUUGACAUGUCUGGAAUCCUCGAAGAGGUCAGGAGUAUAAAGACGGAACACAAGGUGCUGUGCUGUCGUCAGCUCGUGUCGUGAGAUGUUGUUUAAGUCCCGCAACGAAGGCGCAACCUACAAUGUCAUUAGUUACUACCGAAGGGCACUCUAGUAAGGAUUUAUGCCGUGACAAACCGGAGGAAGGUGAGGAUGACGUCAAGUCCUCAUGGCCCUUAUGGGUAGGGCUUCACACGUCAUACAAUGGUCGGGACAGAGGGUCGCCAACUUACGAGAAAUUCCAAUCCCGAAACCCGAUCGUAGUCCGGAUCACUGAGUCUGCAACUCGACUGCGUGAAGGGGAGUCGAAUCACUUCAUCAAUCGCGGAUCAGCAUGUCGCGGUGAAUACGUUCCAGGUCUGUACACACCGCCCGUCACACCAUGGGAGUGGGUUUUACCAGAAGUAGUUAGCCUAACCGUAAGGAGGGCGAUUACCACGGUAGGAUUCAUGACUGGGAAUUGAAGUCGUAGCCUCAAGGUAG
rnacentral:rRNA from 1 species